GCGGACCGACGGGAGCUUGCUCCCUUAGGUCAGCGGCGGACGGGUGAGUAACACGUGGGUAACCUGCCUGUAAGACUGGGAUAACUCCGGGAAACCGGGGCUAAUACCGGAUGCUUGAUUGAACCGCAUGGUUCAAUCAUAAAAGGUGGCUUUUAGCUACCACUUGCAGAUGGACCCGCGGCGCAUUAGCUAGUUGGUGAGGUAACGGCUCACCAAGGCGACGAUGCGUAGCCGACCUGAGAGGGUGAUCGGCCACACUGGGACUGAGACACGGCCCAGACUCCUACGGGAGGCAGCAGUAGGGAAUCUUCCGCAAUGGACGAAAGUCUGACGGAGCAACGCCGCGUGAGUGAUGAAGGUUUUCGGAUCGUAAAACUCUGUUGUUAGGGAAGAACAAGUACCGUUCGAAUAGGGCGGCACCUUGACGGUACCUAACCAGAAAGCCACGGCUAACUACGUGCCAGCAGCCGCGGUAAUACGUAGGUGGCAAGCGUUGUCCGGAAUUAUUGGGCGUAAAGCGCGCGCAGGCGGUUUCUUAAGUCUGAUGUGAAAGCCCCCGGCUCAACCGGGGAGGGUCAUUGGAAACUGGGGAACUUGAGUGCAGAAGAGGAGAGUGGAAUUCCACGUGUAGCGGUGAAAUGCGUAGAGAUGUGGAGGAACACCAGUGGCGAAGGCGACUCUCUGGUCUGUAACUGACGCUGAGGCGCGAAAGCGUGGGGAGCGAACAGGAUUAGAUACCCUGGUAGUCCACGCCGUAAACGAUGAGUGCUAAGUGUUAGAGGGUUUCCGCCCUUUAGUGCUGCAGCAAACGCAUUAAGCACUCCGCCUGGGGAGUACGGUCGCAAGACUGAAACUCAAAGGAAUUGACGGGGGCCCGCACAAGC
rnacentral:rRNA from 1 species